GCCUUCAUAGCUCAGUGGUAGAGCACUGGUCUCGUAAACCAGGGGUCAGGAGUUCGAACCUCCCUGGAGGCG
rnacentral:tRNA from 1 species